UGGGGAAUAUUGGGCAAUGGGCGAAAGCCUGACCCAGCAACGCCGCGUGAAGGAAGAAGGUCUUCGGAUUGUAAACUUCUUUGAUCAGGGACGAAGAAAUGACGGUACCUGAAGAACAAGCCACGGCUAACUACGUGCCAGCAGCCGCGGUAAUACGUAGGUGGCAAGCGUUAUCCGGAUUUACUGGGUGUAAAGGGCGUGUAGGCGGCUCCGCAAGUCAGAUGUGAAAUUCCCAGGCUUAACCUGGGCGCUGCAUCUGAAACUGCGGAACUUGAGUACUGGAGAGGAUAGUGGAAUUCCUAGUGUAGCGGUAAAAUGCGUAGAUAUUAGGAGGAACACCAGUGGCGAAGGCGGCUAUCUGGACAGUAACUGACGCUGAGGCGCGAAAGCGUGGGGAGCAAACAGG
rnacentral:rRNA from 1 species